UUAAUUGCUGUUGUACAGUAUAUAUAUAUAUACGCACAUGACAGUGACAUUGACGCAUCACACUCGUCGUUUUAAUUCGAGCAUAGCCUAAAAUAUUUUGCUUUAAUAAAGCAUCAACGAUGAAAAUAGUGUAAGCGUGUUUUUUUUAUAUUAAUCGUGAUCGAACAAUUUGUCGUUUGUGUUUACUGCGCUCAAAGACUGUGUGCAGCUUCACACAUUGACUGUUUGGUGACAAAUCUGAUUUUAAAUUAAAAAAAAAAUAAUUAUCAAAAAAUAAUAUUGAACUGAAUAAAAUUAAAAUCAAUGAUGGAUUACAGUUUGGAGUUUUCCACAACUGGACUGCAUUGUUUACCGCGGACCAGUGGCGUAACCAGUGGCGUAACUAAAACUUCGAUUGCCUGUGGCGAAAAAAUCCAGCGGGCCCUUAGGCCUUAGAUUUCAAAUUUGUAAUAUGAAGAGCAUGCACUUACUCACACAAUUUAUAUCUAGACCCACCCCUGCUAUAAAAGAUCCGGUCACUGUCCUCCGACAACUGGAUGCAUCAAUAGUUUUUAAUGAGCUGAAAUAUGCAGGCCCGACAAAAAUCAAGUUGGAAAUUCGUGAUUUCGCCGCAGGCAUUGUAGUGCAUAAUAUGACUUCAACUGGUGAUACACCCAUCAUCGCGGAUUUGAACAAAAACGAACCCGCCGCGCCGUUGCACCUGGGCACCAGGCCAAGAUGUCAUUAUCAACGACAACUACAUAAUAUUAAUAUAUUUACACGUCAUGUCCCGUCUUGUCCAAGUGUCAGCCAUGUCGCUAUGUCACGACAGCCGUUUUUUUUAUAGCAUCACGUAUUAUUUUAUUAAUUACACUGACGGUUUAUGGCCGUUUUUGUUAUAUGUCCGCCUUAGCCGUAAAUAUCUUAAUAUUAAUUUAUAUCUUAAUUUCAAUGUGCAUUCGUAUUUUGUUGUGGCACAUUCCGCCUUGAGCGUCACUGUAGUGCUUCUGUCGAAUUUAUACAUUUUAUCUGCUUGUAUGUGGUAUCUAUAUGUUAUGUUUGUUUGCGUUCCGUAUCGCUGUGUUCUUGCACGCCGUUCUUAUACAAUGACAAUAAGUUAUCCGCCCUUUUCCGUCCACGCAUCCUGUAUACCAUGGUUUAGUCGUAUACUAGUAUAAUACUACUGUCGUGUUGCGUUUUCGUCCUUUGUCGAGUCGGUGACGGUGUAACAGGAUAGUCAUGGUAUCGGCCCACUGAGUUUCAUUAAAUUAUAUAUUUCUAUACUCAUGUUUGUACUCAUUUCUCAUUAUCAUAAAAAGAAAAAGUUACCAAUUAACACUCAUAACUGGCCCAUAUUUUGAGUGGCCCACCAAGAUUUCCUCGGCAGUUUGCCGAUCCGACCAUUGCCUAAAUUGUUGAAUGUCAUACAAUAUAUUCUUCUGUCUUCUGAUGUAUCCCGGGCGUUUUGUUUCAUUCAAGGGUGUCAGCCUAAUAUCUGCCCGCGUAUCACGAUACAUAUUGUUACAUACAACAUAUUACAUUUAAUUAUUUAAAUAUUGGUUGGUGGUUACAUAAACGAUAGGUAAACAAAUUAUUAUAUUACUACGUGACAUUCCUUGCUCAUGCGACGAACCUCGCGUUUUUGUUACCAUAUUUUUGAGGGCCACACUGCCCACACUACACGCUCUUUGCUGACGGCGAUUGGAUGACCGUGUUAUUAUAUAUUUAUAAUAUUAAAAUAGUGAUCCGCCCAAAGUUAGAUUAUAAUAUAAUAUCGCACAUGCAUUAGGAAGCAGUGGUGUAGUCGUAAAUAUUUUUCUGGGUAUACACCUAAAUUGAGAAAUAUUUAAUACGUAGGGCUCCGCCCCCACACCACCCGUAUACCAAUUGACUUAGAUUUAUCUAUUAUUAUAAAUUUAUUUAAAUAUAUAAUAAUAUAUGAUUCCAUUAUAGCAAAUUAA